AGUAGUGUUGUAAUGGGAGUUAGAGCAUGGAUGUUGCAAUAUAGUGCAAUGAAGUGUUAGGAAUGUUUGACGUCACUUAAAGAAGUGGUACUUUAGGAAUGUGUGUCACCAUUUUAAAAUAAAUGUGGUAUAAAGGUCAUUUAAUAUUUAAUUAUAUUGUGUAUCACAUUCUACAUAAACCAUAUCUUCCAGCAACUACACAUUAUUCAACAUGCAUUCAGAGAACUGUCACCAACUAGACCGUCUUGCAAGUGUAAGAUCAGGUCUGAGUUCCAUAUACCGAAAUUAUGAUUUUCAUUUGAGUUUAGUAAACACGACUGGGGUGUGGUUCUCUUAUCCCUAUUAAAUGCAAGUUUGGUACUGACAAAUUCUAUGUAUCAAAUAGAGAAGGCAAAUAUUCGCAAUAGAUCAGAAUGCAUCACAUCAUAAACACCAGAGGAUACUCAAACACAAUGGAAUAGUACAUUAUGCAGCUACCUGAAACCAUUUCAACUCCCAGGAGAGUAUUUUGUUACUGUUUGUUUGUAUCAGAAAUUAGUGAGACUUGAUUUUCGGAAGUUUUUAAAUGGUAAACCAACAAUACAAAGACUUUGUUUAGAUGUGAAUCAGUGGAACUAUCUAAAGAGACUUCAGAAUCACAGUGACACCACAAUUGAAUUUGCAUGGAAGAGAAACAUUUGAAGUUGUAUGCCAAUUUUGUAUCCAUUAUGAAUGAAUAAAUAUAUAUUUCCAACCAGUUAAUUCAUUUAAACUACACGUCACAUUUGACUAUACUGUCAUUAAAUGGUAGUUUUCUUAUAAUUGAACAAUUAUAACAUUGAAGUAAAUGAUGAUGGUCAAUUGAC
rnacentral:lncRNA from 1 species